rnacentral:rRNA from 1 species
UACAGAGGUCUCAAGCGUUGUUCGGAUUCAUUGGGCGUAAAGGGUGCGUAGGCGGCGCGGUAAGUCGGGUGUGAAAUUUCGGAGCUUAACUCCGAAACUGCAUUCGAUGCUGCCGUGCUUGAGGACUGGAGAGGAGACUGGAAUUUACGGUGUAGCAGUGAAAUGCGUAGAGAUCGUAAGGAAGACCAGUGGCGAAGGCGGGUCUCUGGACAGUUCCUGACGCUGAGGCACGAAGGUCAGGGGAGCAAACGGG